rnacentral:rRNA from 1 species
UACGUAGGGGGCAAGCGUUGUCCGGAUUUAUUGGGCGUAAAGAGCGUGUAGGCGGCCAGGUAGGUCAGCUGUGAAAACUCGAGGCUCAACCUCGAGACGCCGGUUGAAACCAUCUGGCUAGAGUCCGGAAGAGGAGAGUGGAAUUCCUGGUGUAGCGGUGAAAUGCGCAGAUAUCAGGAAGAACACCCGUGGCUAAGGCGGCUCUCUGGACCGAGACUGACGCUGAGGCGCGAAAGCGUGGGGAGCAAACAGG